GACGAACGCUGGCGGCGUGCCUAAUACAUGCAAGUAGAACGCUGAAGAGAGGAGCUUGCUCUUCUUGGAUGAGUUGCGAACGGGUGAGUAACGCGUAGGUAACCUGCCUUGUAGCGGGGGAUAACCAUUGGAAACGAUAGCUAAUACCGCAUAACAAUGGAUGACACAUGUCAUUUAUUUGAAAGGGGCAAUUGCUCCACUACAAGAUGGACCUGCGUUGUAUUAGCUAGUAGGUGAGGUAAUGGCUCACCUAGGCGACGAUACAUAGCCGACCUGAGAGGGUGAUCGGCCACACUGGGACUGAGACACGGCCCAGACUCCUACGGGAGGCAGCAGUAGGGAAUCUUCGGCAAUGGGGGCAACCCUGACCGAGCAACGCCGCGUGAGUGAAGAAGGUUGUCGGAUCGUAAAGCUCUGUUGUAAGUCAAGAACGGGUGUGAGAGUGGAAAGUUCACACUGUGACGGUAGCUUACCAGAAAGGGACGGCUAACUACGUG
rnacentral:rRNA from 1 species